rnacentral:rRNA from 1 species
GCUUAGAGUUUGAUCCUGGCUCAGAUUGAACGCUGGCGGCAUGCUUUACACAUGCAAGUCGAACGGUAACAGGUCUUCGGAUGCUGACGAGUGGCGAACGGGUGAGUAAUACAUCGGAACGUGCCUAGUAGUGGGGGAUAACUACUCGAAAGAGUAGCUAAUACCGCAUGAGAUCUACGGAUGAAAGCAGGGGACCUUCGGGCCUUGUGCUACUAGAGCGGCUGAUGGCAGAUUAGGUAGUUGGUGGGGUAAAGGCUUACCAAGCCUGCGAUCUGUAGCUGGUCUGAGAGGACGACCAGCCACACUGGGACUGAGACACGGCCCAGACUCCUACGGGAGGCAGCAGUGGGGAAUUUUGGACAAUGGGCGAAAGCCUGAUCCAGCAAUGCCGCGUGCAGGAUGAAGGCCCUCGGGUUGUAAACUGCUUUUGUACGGAACGAAAAGCCUGGGGCUAAUAUCCCCGGGUCAUGACGGUACCGUAAGAAUAAGCACCGGCUAACUACGUGCCAGCAGCCGCGGUAAUACGUAGGGUGCAAGCGUUAAUCGGAAUUACUGGGCGUAAAGCGUGCGCAGGCGGUUUUGUAAGACAGUGGUGAAAUCCCCGGGCUCAACCUGGGAACUGCCAUUGUGACUGCAAGGCUAGAGUGCGGCAGAGGGGGAUGGAAUUCCGCGUGUAGCAGUGAAAUGCGUAGAUAUGCGGAGGAACACCGAUGGCGAAGGCAAUCCCCUGGGCCUGCACUGACGCUCAUGCACGAAAGCGUGGGGAGCAAACAGGAUUAGAUACCCUGGUAGUCCACGCCCUAAACGAUGUCAACUGGUUGUUGGGUCUUAACUGACUCAGUAACGAAGCUAACGCGUGAAGUUGACCGCCUGGGGAGUACG